rnacentral:rRNA from 1 species
CACGUAGGGUGCGAGCGUUGUCCGGAAUUAUUGGGCGUAAAGAGCUCGUAGGCGGUGUGUCGCGUCGGCCGUGAAAACCUGCAGCUUAACUGUGGGCUUGCGGUCGAUACGGGCAUCACUGGAGUUCGGCAGGGGAGACUGGAAUUCCUGGUGUAGCGGUGAAAUGCGCAGAUAUCAGGAGGAACACCGGUGGCGAAGGCGGGUCUCUGGGCCGAUACUGACGCUGGAGGAAGCGAAAGCGUGGGGAGCGAACAGG